rnacentral:lncRNA from 1 species
AUGGCCUUCAUUUUUUUUUUAACCUCUGCUUCCAACUCCAUGCAUUUUCCUGCUGUCUUUCAGCCUGGAAUGCUCUCCUUCCUCAUCUCUGCCUCCUCCUGGCCUUCAUGGAUUCCUUCAGAUUUCAGAAAGUGCAAAAUGAUAUAAAGGACCACCUCUGGUUGCUGCUACUUCUUGGGUCAAAGAAGCUCUGGUGUUGCUUCUCCACAGCUGAAUUCUCUGAGGCUGAAGGAGAAGAGAAAGUCUUUGGAGGACUGUGAUCAUACACUGGCUUCACUUUCAGGGACUUUUCUCUGGUCUCUGGUUCUGUCUCAUGCUUAUGCAUUUGUGCUGUAUUUUAUUGAGAAUCUCUGAAGGUCCCGAGGAGGACCUUUGUAUCAGAACUGCACGUUUGGGAUGUUGAUCUGGCAGUGAUGUCUCUCCAUCGGUGAGUCUCACAUUAAUGAAGUCAAUGAAAGCACAUUUUCCUCCUUCAAUGAACACUUAGGAAAGGCACAGAUGUUCCCUCAGAUGGCUUUCCUGUCAAAUCUCAGUCAUGAUUUAUGCAAAUAAAACUGAAACUUCACUAAUGCCA